CUACAUGAUCUGGAUUCUGCCAAUGCACAACCUCAAGGUGGGCAAGAAUCGAUUGAUGAGUGCAAACAAUGGAUAUGGUGGCUUAGGAGUACAGGGACAGAAUCGAUUGAUGAGUGUUGUGCUUCCACAAGGUAUUGAAGUAUUUCUUUGUGGUGACAAGAGCUUCUUGAUUCAGGAUCUCCGUAGGUGAUUUCAAUGCUAGGGAACUCUUAUCCCAAUGCUGGUGGUCCACUUUCACAAAGCCAUGUUAUGGAUAUGUUGAAUGAUGUAAACUCAAGUGAUAAUUCUCGUUUUGACAUGAAUGACUUCCCUCAACUGACUAGUCGACCUAGUUCUGCUGGAGGGCCUCAAGCACAAUUGGGUGCAAACGAAGAUUUUCAGCUUUGCCAGGAUUCAAAGGUGUAAUAACUGGAGAAGAUAUGUGACCUGAUUGGCUGUUAUGCAUUUCUUUCUAGCAAUUUUGGCUGUUUUAUGUUAUCAAAUAGUUUUUUUGUAUAGUUGCCUUAUGAUUUGUUGUUUAAAGAGUCUCUUCUUACAGAGUUGAGUUAUAGACUGAAUUAUGCACUUUCUCUUAUGAAAAGUUUUAUGGAUUUACGUGCAUAUCUACCUUAGUUCCUUUGGUGCUUGGUUUUAUUGCUUUGUUUAUUAUAUUCUGAAAUUGUAAGUCAUGUAAGGUGUUAAAUAAGCAUAUGGUUUCCUGGUUUGUAUCUCAUCAAGUGUUUGUAGGUUGGAACUACUUAAUGUUGUCUUUUUAUCACAAAAUGUAGAAUCACCAUUAAUAGAUUGUUCCAACUCUUACUUCCUUGUGCAAUUUGAUUUUAACAUGCUGAUUUUUUAUGUUGUAA